GGCGCCGGCCGCCUGCCUCCACCACGCGCCGCCCUCCUCCUUCCCAUGCGCCGGCCACCUACAUCCAUUGCGCAGAUCCCGCCGCAGCCCCAAAACCUAAACGGCGCCGCUGUUGUCGUCCCGCACUGGAUCGACCCGCCGCUAUCGCUCUGCUGCCGUGUACACGCGGUUCAACGCCUCAGCCCCAGGCCGUUCAAUGCCUAGCCGGCCUGCGGCUCCUCCAUGGACACCUAGCUCCUCUACAAGAGCCGCCGCGGCCCACGGCAGCCCAUGGUGGCGGAGUUCGUUGCGUCCAUCAGUCCAACCCCAUGGCUUCAGGGUGCCCGAGUUUUGUCGCGGCCGUCAGUUCGGACACCUCCGUCACUGUGUGCGUUGCUACCACGGCCAUUUGCGUCACUGCGUGCUCCGUCACCGGCCUCAUGCGCACCGUGACCCCUGGCGCACUCCUUCCUCUCCCUGACGAUGUUCGUGCCCUCCCACGCUUGAUCUCCUGCUGCAGCGAUGAGCUCUUCUACAUUGCUGAAGUUCCGUACCUGACGGCACCAGCACGAGGAUGCAGCAGCCAGGCUGGACCCCAGUUCGUGCCUCCCUCUCUCUCCCUUAGCUACAUCAUCACUGUUGAAGUGCUGCUGAUUGAUUUCUUGUAGUGAACUUGGUGCUCCGUAGGUGCCUGCUGGUAUAUGCAAGUGAGGGCCAGCAUUUUUUUCUUCAGAUUCUUGUGUUUGUACAAGGGCUAAAAGUAUUUAGUUGUACAAAUUGAAAUUCCACAUAAUCCUCUGACUGCAAGUUUUACUUGUGACUUUGAUGCUUCGUAGGUGCUUAAAAGUAUUUAGGUGGGUGGUCCGACACCGCUGCUUCCAGCAGUCCAAGAUCGCCACCGGAGGCCUUCACUGUCGCAAUGCCUACUUUCGCCCGCGCCUCCUUCCCGGUCAUCGUGAGUGCUGCUUUGAUUCAGACCUGAUGGAAGAAGGCAGAACCUCUCUCUCGUGAAGAAUACAUAGCAGGAUCUGCCCCAGCAAACCACAUGUCGCCGGGGGCGCUCUGCCUCUCCUAUGCACCCCCUGCUUCCAUCUCCCUCCACCGCCGCCCUCCCUUACCCCUCCGCAGUUCUUGGCACCGCGGCUGUUGCCCCGCACUGGAUCGACGCGCCGCUAUUGCUCUGUCGCUGCGUACAGAGAGUUCAACGCCGCAACCCCCGUCCGUUCAAUGUCGCCGCCAUGGCCGUGCCCCACUCCAACUCCCUCGCCUGUGCUUCCAUGGCGAAACAGUGCAACCUGCAGGAGGAACCGUGGGGGGUCGAGGACGUCCAGCUCGGCAGUCCAACUCAGCAUGAUUCACGUCAUCGUUGGCCCCAUGUUCGCUGGCAAGACCACCGCGCUUCUCCGACGGCACCGGCAGCUGUAAGAUAGAAAAUUUUCUCUCUUGUCUAUCUUGGUUCUCAGGAAAAUUGGGUUGGGAGUCGACAAGCCGGGCAAAAUGUGUUGCUACUUCUACAAUAUCAAAGAUGAUGAGAUUCUGGUCUUGCUCGUCGAGGACCCAAUCACAGGGCAGUCUGUCGCUGCUGCAAUGCAUUAGGAAAAGUUCAAGUUUCCUAUUAGAUUUAGUUCUAUUGGAAAAGGGCCGCCCUCACCGCGCUUAUCCCCGUCGCCGGAGGGUCGGCGUGCAGGGGUUGGGCCAUAGCCGACAGUUCCGGUCGUCCCCUGCCACUGCUCAAUCUUCUCGCCUAACCCCCUUCCUCCCCGAUCUGCUACUGAUGUACCCCAACUACCACUGGAGCUUCGGGGAGCACUCCUCCGUCCAAGUUGAGCAUUGGGCGCCGUCCGAGUAGAGCACUGCACCCCGUCCAAGUUCCCAUCUAAUGUUGAACGUUAAAUUUUGUCAUGUUGAAAUAAUAUAGCACUGAGCACCCUACAAUUUUUUUUGCUUGAGCGCUGAGCAAACAGUGGGGCCUGGAGGAGUCACAGGGUCGAGGACCUCCUGCUCAACAGUACAACUUCUUGUUUUGUGGCCAGUCGCUCAAGGAGCUGAGUGCAGGCCGCAGUAAGUACAUGAUUACUAAUAUUAGGAUAUGUAUGUGGUCCCAGAAAAAACAUUUGUCGGGUUUUUGGUGGCCAAAUAUUGUUGAUAUGGAGAUGAAUAACUAUGCGGAUGCGCUCCUGUUGUUUUUCUGGAAAAAAAGAUGCCAUGUUUACACAUCCAUAUUUAAUUUUGGAAGGUUCACACAUCCAUAUUAGAGAGAUUCAUCGGACAUAAUUUUGUAAGGUCAGAAAAAGCAAUUGCUCAGUACAUCACAGCAACUCUUCGAUGCAAAAAGGGUGGCUCUUCUCAAGUCAGCAGCUAACCAAACUGGCAACUUCAGGGUAGCUCAGUCAAAUAUGGCAGCUGUGUAGUAAACAAUUUCAGUUGAGAAAUCAGCAAGCGCCAUGCUCAGUCCAACCCCGUGGCUUCAGGGUGGCCGAGUUCGUAGUGACCAUCAGUUUGGAGACCUGCGUCACUGCGCGUGUCGCUACCAUGGCCCCCUGUGUCACUGCAUGCUCCGUCAACAGCCUCCUACACAAGGAAAAGCAACAGGAGUAGAGGCGUCUGAGAUGCUCUGUUCUACAGAGGUGGCUGAUUACGUUUGUCAGUUUGUAAUACUUUGGCCGCAGUGUACUUAUGUAUCUUUUUCUGGCCGGAGCACGACCAGAGCUUAUGUCAGUACGAACUUUGAUUGUAAUGGUACUACAAACUCUAUGAAAACACCAGCAAUCCAUUUUUACUGGUACUUACCUUUUAUACAGUCCACAUGGAUUGUGCCCCUAUUACCAAUUGUGGUACAAAAAUG